rnacentral:rRNA from 1 species
CUGGCUCAGGAUGAACGCUAGCGGCAGGCUUAACACAUGCAAGUCGAGGGGCAUCGGGAGUAGCAAUACUUGCCGGCGACCGGCGCAAGGGUGCGUAACGCGUGAGCAACAUGCCCGUAUCAGGGGGAUAAUCCAUGGAAACGUGGUCUAAUACCCCAUAGUAAUUAUGUAAGGCAUCUUAUAUAAUUUAAAGCUUUGGUGGAUACGGAUUGGCUCGCGUGACAUUAGCUAGAUGGUAAGGUAACGGCUUACCAUGGCUACGAUGUCUAGGGGUUCUGAGAGGAAGGUCCCCCACACUGGAACUGAGACACGGUCCAGACUCCUACGGGAGGCAGCAGUGAGGAAUAUUGGACAAUGGAUGGAAAUCUGAUCCAGCCAUGCCGCGUGCAAGGAAGACGGCCCUAUGGGUUGUAAACUGCUUUUGUAUGGGAGCAAUAAGGGCUACGCGUAGUCCGAUGAGAGUACCAUACGAAUAAGCACCGGCUAACUCCGUGCCAGCAGCCGC